AGUAAAUAGAAGCUUUUGCUGCACAAUGUUUCAGACAGAAUGAAGGAGAAAUGGCAUCAAUUCCCCUGAGAAGAAGUGCAGCUGGGCUCUGGAUGGGAAGAGUGAGUGGGCAGGGGACCUGCCACAUUGUAGGAGUUAAGAUGGAGAGAAGGAGUUGUGGAAAUCACAGGCCAAAAAGCCUCUCAUGGAGAAGGCAGAAUAAACACCUCACAUAUAUUUUUCACCUGCUGUGACAGUGGCUCGCCGGCACUUUACAACAAGGUGUGCUCUGGCUAAAACUCCAGUUUGCAGAGGUAUAGCCAUCCUUGCCAAUUCUUUGUGCAAGACUGCCACCAGCUCCUGCAGCUUCUCCGCCCUCAGGCCUGGUUCGGAACCCUGCAAGUGUCUGCUUGUACCGCCAACUGCUCUUAGCCGCUGGAUGCCGUUCCUGCCUUUGAGACAAAGGAUCCAUUAUCCACCAGCUUAGGGUUCCCCAGGUAUGAGGGAAGACCAAUAGGCAUUUAGUCUCACCUUUGUUUCAUUUUGCAGAGCAGAGGCUAUUUCGAGAGACCUGAACUUCACUUGUUUCCUCAAAAGCAUAAAGGAGAAAUUCCACGCCUUGACUGGCCCCUGCCUCAAGUGAGCGUAGGGUGAGGAAAGCACAAGUUUCUUUAAUCCCAAUGGAAAGCGCCAGCCUGGUGGCAGUGUGGAAGCCUGUGUCACCUUGACACUGACCUGGCCCAAACAAAUAAGCAAGCAGAGUUUUGGUGGCCUUCUCUCAUUUGCAAAAUGAGGACUCUGGAUUAUUAACCUAAGACCAAGUAUACAAAAUUUAGUGUUAAAAAUUAAUAUUGAUAAUGAAAAUAAUUUUUUUUAGGACAGCGAGGACAAUAUCUGAACCCAAUGUGCUUGGGCUGUCAUCUGUGACUAAGGAGACAAAAUCAGGGGACCUUCUCAUAUCUAUUUUCUCCUUUCUUCUUCCUGCAAGGCAUGUGCUAGGUUUUUCAUGGAAGAAUUCAGCUGCCACAUAAAAUCUGCAUAGUUUUACAGACUCUGCACAGGCCAGACUUGGAAUGGCUUUUGCACGUUAACUCUCUUCCUGCCCCUCUUUCUCCCAGCCUCGUCCAUCUGCAAACACAAGUACCAAGUCGGAACCUUAAAAAUGGCAGGUGAAGCAAAUGAAACCCCAGCGCAGUUGACAAAAAGGUCUAAAUCCUCGUGACGUGCACAUUUUGUUAAAAAGGAAAGAAAAUUUAAAAAACAAAAGAAAGAAAAGCAACAUAGAAAGUGAACAUAUAAUAUAAAAAAGUAAAUCAGGCCAGUUGGCUCAGUUGGUUAGGGCACAGUGUUGAUAACACCAAAGUCAAGGGUUUGGAUCCCCAUCCCAGCCAGCCGCGCCCCUCCCCCGGCCCCCAAAAGCAAAUGAUCCAUGAUAAAGGUAGAAAGAAUUCUUUCGCUUUUCGGAAAAGUUGUGCCCAACACGUGUCAAACCUCUCUCCAUCCUUUCAUGUAUUGGUGGGGAGAACAGCCUUGUGUUUAUGGCUUUUGUUAACAGUUAUGGAGGUGUUGACCAUGCUGCCCCUUUUCUUCCUGGAGCUGUAUAUAUCCUCCGCUGGACUGCCACACAGGCAGAAGGGGCUGGUGCGCACCCCAUCACAAGGCCACACCCCAACCAUUCCGGCUUCUGGGACAGGGGAGGAGGUUUGAGAUGAGGUGAGACAGGCUCAUACUGCUGUCUAUCCCUUGUCAUUCCCUUUACCAGGGACACAGGCAAGCCCUUCUAGCCUCUUGGCUCAAGUUGCUAAUCCCAGCUAGUUCUGAACUUCUCCAAACACAGCCUAGACUUUACCUGAUUCCUCAGCAGGCAAAUCCUCAAUGCCUGAUAUUAAACCAAAGAGGUUUCCCAGUACUAGUGUCCUUAUACCAUUUGGACGCAGAGGGGUAUGUUCAGAAAUAUAAAAAUACACACACGCAGUAAUAAAGAGGCAUCAGAAACUGCCUUCUGGAGCUUACCCAGAGAUCUUUCUUUCGUCUGGUUGGUCGACCUCACCACAGGAAGGCUCGCUCGAGUCCGGCUGCCUCUGGAAAAAGGACUUGGAGCUUCCCCCUCAGACAUGGCUUCCAAAGAGUCACCGGACGUCUCUGAUAAAUGCUCGAUUGGGUCGCCCAAACUGGGAGGUUGAGGACUGUGAGACAGUUUGGGGCUUCUCGUCUGCAAAAUACAUUUUAAAGAAAGUGGGAAAAUAAACUUGUUAAUUAUGCUGAAAA